UGUGUCAGUAAAUGAAAGUCAUUUGAACAA
rnacentral:piRNA from 1 species